CUGGUUGUGUGUAAGGGAUGCAUUGUGUGAAUCUGUGUUUGUAUGCAUAAGGGAUGCAAAGGUGUGUGUCUGUAUGUGUGUGCAUGAGAUGCAUUGUGUUUCUGUGUGUAUGUAAGAAAAGAAGUGUGUACGGGUUUGCAUUGUCUGUUUCUGUGUAUGUGUGCAAAGGAUGCAUUGUCUAUGUGUGUAAGGGUUGCAUUGUGUGUGUGUAAUGGAUGCAGUGUGUUUCUCUGUGUGUAAGGGAAGCAUGUUGUGUUUCUGUGUAUGUAUAGGGAUGCAUU